rnacentral:rRNA from 1 species
AUAUCAAUAAGCGGAGGAAAAGAAACCAACAGGGAUUGCCCUAGUAACGGCGAGUGAAGCGGCAAUAGCUCAAAUUUGAAAUCUGGCUCUCUUUAAGAGUCCGAGUUGUAAUUUGCAGAGGAUGCUUUUGGCAUGGUGCCUUCCGAGUUCCCUGGAACGGGACGCCAUAGAGGGUGAGAGCCCCGUCUAGUUGGACACCUAAGCCUCUAUAAAGCUCCUUCGACGAGUCGAGUAGUUUGGGAAUGCUGCUCAAAGUAGGAGGUAUAUGUCUUCUAAAGCUAAAUACUGGCCAGAGACCGAUAGCGCACAAGUAGAGUGAUCGAAAGAUGAAAAGCACUUUGAAAAGAGGGUUAAAUAGUACGUGAAAUUGCUAAAAGGGAAGCGCUUAUAACUAGACGUAGGGAUAUUCAAUCACCUAGUAUUCUUACUAGGGCACUUGGAUUUUCCUAGGCUAGCAUCGGCUUACUAUAAGGGAUAAAGACGCCUGGAACGUAGCCCUCUUUAGGGGGGGUGUUAUAGCCUAGCGUGUAAUAUCUUAUAGUAGACCGAGGUCUGCGUACUGUUUUAGUGCAAUGAUGCUGGCAUAAUGGUUAUUAGUGACCCGUCUUGAAACACGGACCAAGGAGUCGUCCUCGUAUGCAAGUGUUUGGGUGUGAAACCCCUACGCAAAAUGAAAGUGAACGUAGGUGAGAGCCCUCUCUCGGGGGGGUGCAUCACCGACCGAUCCUGAUGUUCUACGGAUGGAUUUGAGUAAGAGCAUACGGGGCCGGACCCGAAAGAAGGUGAACUAUGCCUGCGUAGGGUGAAGCCAGAGGAAACUCUGGUGGAGGCUCGCAGCGGUUCUGACGUGCAAAUCGAUCGGUCAAAACGUGGGCAUGGGGGCGAAAGACUAAUCGAACCUUCUAGUAGCUGGUUUCCG